rnacentral:rRNA from 1 species
CACGUAGGGGGCAAGCGUUGUCCGGAUUUAUUGGGCGUAAAGAGCUCGUAGGUGGUUCGGUAAGUCGGGUGUUAAACCCCCAGGCUCAACCUGGGGACGCCACUCGAUACUGCUGUGACUAGAGUCCGGUAGGGGAGCGUGGAAUUCCUGGUGUAGCGGUGAAAUGCGCAGAUAUCAGGAGGAACACCGGUGGCGAAGGCGGCAUCCUGGACCGACACUGACGCUGAGGAGCGAAAGCCAGGGGAGCAAACGGG